CCUACGGGAGGCAGCAGUGGGGAAUAUUGGACAAUGGGCGCAAGCCUGAUCCAGCCAUACCGCGUGUGUGAAGAAGGCCUUUUGGUUGUAAAGCACUUUAAGCGAGGAGGAGGCUCUUGAGGAUAAUACCCUUGAUGAGUGGACGUUACUCGCAGAAUAAGCACCGGCUAACUCUGUGCCAGCAGCCGCGGUAAUACAGAGGGUGCGAGCGUUAAUCGGAAUUACUGGGCGUAAAGCGCGCGUAGGCGGCUUGUUAAGUCGGAUGUGAAAUCCCCGGGCUCAACCUGGGCACUGCAUUCGAUACUGGCAAGCUAGAGUAUGGGAGAGGAAGGUAGAAUUCCAGGUGUAGCGGUGAAAUGCGUAGAGAUCUGGAGGAAUACCGAUGGCGAAGGCAGCCUUCUGGCCUAAUACUGACGCUGAGGUGCGAAAGCAGUGGGGANCAAACAGGAUUAGAUACCCUGGUAGUCCAUGCCGUAAACGAUGUACAACUAGCCGUUGGGGACCUUGAGUUCUUUAGUGGCGCGAGCUAACGCGAUAAGUUGACCCGCGUGGGGAGUACGGUCGCGAAGACUAAAACGCAAAGUGAAAGUUGACGG
rnacentral:rRNA from 1 species